GAUGAACGCUGGCGGCGUGCUUAACACAUGCAAGUCGAACGAUUAAGCCCAGCUUGCUGGGUGGAUUAGUGGCGAACGGGUGAGUAACACGUGAGUAACCUGCUCUUAACUCUGGGAUAAGCCUGGGAAACUGGGUCUAUUACCCGAUCGGAGCGUCCACCGCAUGGUGGGUGUUGGAAAGCUUUAUCGGUUUUGGAUGGACUCGCGGCCUAUCAGCUUGUUGGUUAGGUAAUGGCUCACCAAGGCGACGGCGGGUAGCCGGCAUGAGAGGGUUACCAGCGACAAGGGGACUGAGAGACGGCCCAGACUCGGACGAGAGGCAGAAGAGGGGAAUAUUGCACAGAGGGCGCAAGCCUGAUGAAGAGACGCGGCGUGAGGGAAGAAGGCCUUCGGGGUGGAAACCGCUGUCAGUAGGGAAGAAGCGAAAGUGACGGUACCUGCAGAAGAAGCACCGGCUAACUACGUG
rnacentral:rRNA from 1 species